rnacentral:rRNA from 1 species
AGAGCGAACGCUGGCGGCAGGCUUAACACAUGCAAGUCGAGCGGCCGUAGCAAUACGGCAGCGGCAGACGGGAGAGUAACACGUGGGAACGUGCCCAUCAGUUCGGAACAACCCAGGGAAACUUGGGCUAAUACCGGAUACGCCCUUACGGGGAAAGAUUUAUCGCUGAUGGAGCGGCCCGCGUCUGAUUAGCUUGUUGGUGAGGUAACGGCUCACCAAGGCGACGAUCAGUAGCUGGUCUGAGAGGAUGAUCAGCCUCACUGGGACUGAGACACGGCCCAGACCUCCGUACGGGA